rnacentral:rRNA from 1 species
UACGAAGGGGGCUAGCGUUGCUCGGAAUUACUGGGCGUAAAGCGCACGUAGGCGGCUUCUUAAGUCGGUGGUGAAAUCCUGGAGCUCAACUCCAGAACUGCCUUCGAUACUGGGAGCUCGAGUCCGGGGAGAGGUGAGUGGAACUGCGAGUGUAGAGGUGAAAUUCGUAGAUAUUCGCAAGAACACCAGUGGCGAAGGCGGCUCACUGGCCCGGUACUGACGCUGAGGUGCGAAAAGCGUGGGGGAGCAAACAGGGAUUAAGAAA